rnacentral:rRNA from 1 species
UGCAAGUCGAACGAGGAUUUAGCGGAAUGCGAUUCGUCAAAUGAAAUUAAAUCCGAGUGGCGGACGGGUGAGUAACGCGUGGAUAACCUGCCUCAUACAGGGGGACAACAGCCGGAAACGGCUGCUAAUACCGCAUAACACAAGCAAUUCGCAUGAAUAGCUUGUCAAAGAUUUUAUCGGUGUGAGAUGGAUCCGCGUCUGAUUAGCCAGUUGGCGGGGUAACGGCCCACCAAAGCGACGAUCAGUAGCCGACCUGAGAGGGUGACCGGCCACAUUGGGACUGAGACACGGCCCAAACUCCUACGGGAGGCAGCAGUGGGGAAUAUUGCACAAUGGGCGAAAGCCUGAUGCAGCGACGCCGCGUGAAGGAUGAAGUAUUUCGGUAUGUAAACUUCUAUCAGCAGGGAAGAAAAUGACGGUACCUGACUAAGAAGCCCCGGCUAACUACGUGCCAGCAGCCGCGGUAAUACGUAGGGGGCAAGCGUUAUCCGGAUUUACUGGGUGUAAAGGGAGCG